CGGGGAGGGUCAUUGGAAACUGGGGAACUUGAGUGCACAAAAGAAGAGAGUACUUCCACGUGUAGCGGAGAAAUGCGUAGAGAUGUGGAGGAACACCAGUGGCGAAGGCGACUCUCUGGUCUGUAACUGACGCUGAGGAGCGAAAGCGUGGGGAGCGAACAGGAUUAGAUACCCUGGUAGUCCACGCCGUAAACGAUGAGUGCUAAGUGUUAGGGGGCUUCCGCCCCUUAGUGCUGCAGCUAACGCAUUAAGCACUCCGCCUGGGGAGUACGGUCGCAAGACUGAAACUCAAAGGAAUUGACGGGGGCCCGCACAAGCGGUGGAGCAUGUGGUUUAAUUCGAAGCAACGCGAAGAACCUUACCAGGUCUUGACAUCCUCUGACAAUCCUAGAGAUACGACGUCCCCUUCGGGGGCAGAGUGACAGGUGGUGCAUGGUUGUCGCCAGCUCGUGUCGUGAGAUGUUGGGUUAAGUCCCGCAACGAGCGCAACCCUUGAUCUUAUUUGCCAGCAUUCAGUUGGGCACUCUAAGGUGACUGCCGGUGACAAACCGGAGGAAGGUGGGGAUGACGUCAAAUCAUCAUGCCCCUUAUGACCUGGGCUACACACGUGCUACAAUGGACAGAACAAAGGGCAGCGAAACCGCGAGGUUAAGCCAAUCCCACAAAUCUGUUCUCAGUUCGGAUCGCAGUCUGCAACUCGACUGCGUGAAGCUGGAAUCGCUAGUAAUCGCGGAUC
rnacentral:rRNA from 1 species